GAUCACCAGGCGCGCGACCCUGCAGAACAGGGCCGCCAUCGACUUCCUGCUGCUGGCACACGGGCAUGGUUGCCAGGAGUUCGAGGGGCUGUGCUGCUUUAAUCUAACGUCUCGAAGCAAAUCAGUCCACGCGUCGAUCCAGGAAAUGAGAGACCUUGUCGGUACCGUCAAGCAAGAGAAUGAGGACUGGUUCAAGGACUUAUUCAAGAACUGGGGACUCUCAGGUUGGAUGCUCUCCCUUAUAAAAGACAUCAGUUAUUUCGUUGUCAUUCUCCUUCUAGUUGCUUUAAGUUUUGGGAUCAUCAAAAGAAUCAUUACCGCCUCUCUAUCCGGACCUUCAUCAAAAUCGAAGGUUGUGAUUGCAGCUGCAACCACACAUGAAGACAGCUGGUGGGAAAACCCCACAUCGAGAGAUACUCAAGUCUAAGAUCCCGGAAGUUUUGUUUUUCCAAAACCCACACUGUCUCUCUUUUUUAAACAAAAAAGGGGGAGAUGUGGCGUUGCGUGUUUUGAAGUUAUUAUUUGAAGUUGUUGUUAAUUAUUUUAUAUUAGUUAAAUAAUGGUUUGUUCCUUUCCCCCCAUGUAAUCCCCUAUAAUGGUUUGUCCCUAAGUUGUUUUUCUCCUAUUCUUCCCGCCACUGGCUUGUCAAUUAAAGUAAGACGUCCCUUGUUCCUCCCCCUAAUGCCAUAUUUGGUAUUGUCAAUCCUCCUGGUGCUGCCUCCUACCCGUGUCAAUUAUGUUAACCCCCCCUACCUUUUUCAAGAAAUUUCUGUGUCAUUUAUCCUUAGCUUGUACUGUGAUUUGCUCCCAAGGCUCUCUCCCUCCCCCUUAUUCUUGUCAUUGGUUCUUUUGUAUUGCAUCACCUCACCUGUACCCUCAGUUAUAGGCUCCUUUGUAUUUCCACGCCCCACACCCUCUUACUUUAAAAGCUAGCCGUGACAGUUGUUCUCUGACAUUUGUCCCUGGACCCUCCUCGGUUGUCCUUUCUCCCUGGACCUUUCCCCGGAUUAAAGACACCUUGGAACCCAAACAAGUGUCCCUUCUUUCUUCCUUUGUCUUGGAUCCUCGUGCCUCUCUUCGCAUCAGCCUGCGCACCCACGCCGCUGGCUGUCACCGCUACCCGGCAGACCCGACGGGAACCUGGGAGCGGCCAGUCUUGUGGCGCCCCUCUGCGGUCUUGCAAGGAGCAGCUAGCCGGCGCCCCUUUGCUCCGACCGGCCGCAGCGCGUGAGAGCCACAAUCAUAUGUGUUCCCAGGCUCUUGGCAGUCAUAUGAGUUUCUAACCUGGAGCUGUCUCUCCCUGACUCUGAUAGUUCAUUGGGAAUCAAUGGAGUAUUUUCCCCUUUGCUGGAGCAAUGGAAAGUUGAUGAAGAAUCUUGAUGAAAGUGUCCAGCAGUGCAAGGGAAAUUAGCUCCAUUUCACAGAAAAGUACAGUGCUUGAUUGCCCUCCAGCCUGGGCCACCUGCAUCCUGAAACACAAGAAACUUGGAUGCCCUUGAGAAGUCCUUGACCAAGUCUUCCUAGUCUGGCAGCUGAGG